GUGAAAGCUUCAGGGAGGAGAAAACACAUCCAACCCUUACGUCACUUUUCAAAAUCCCGUAACUUCUCCGUCCGAGCUCCAAUCGUCGCACCGUUUGCGGCCACACGUUCACCGCGUCGAGCUCUACGUUUCUACCGGAACAAUUUUAUUGAUCCAAAUAGCUUGAGGAAAAUGUUCACUCUUGCUUAUGUGAAGCUUGGGUAAGGUUGUGAAUAGAUAAUUGGAGCUUAAAAUUGUGAAUACUGGAACUUGGA